rnacentral:rRNA from 1 species
GACGAACGCUGGCGGCGUGCUUAACACAUGCAAGUCGAACGGAAAGGCCCUGCUUUUGUGGGGUGCUCGAGUGGCGAACGGGUGAGUAACACGUGAGUAACCUGCCCUUGACUUUGGGAUAACUUCAGGAAACUGGGGCUAAUACCGGAUAGGAGCUCCUGCUGCAUGGUGGGGGUUGGAAAGUUUCGGCGGUUGGGGAUGGACUCGCGGCUUAUCAGCUAGUUGGUGGGGUAGUGGCUUACCAAGGCUUUGACGGGUAGCCGGCCUGAGAGGGUGACCGGCCACAUUGGGCCUGAGAUACGGCCCAGACGCCUACGGGAGGCAGCAGUGGGGAAUAUUGCACAAUGGGCGGAAGCCUGAUGCAGCAACGCCGCGUGCGGGAUGACGGCUUUCGGGUUGUAAACCGCUUUCGCCUGUGACGAAGCGUGAGUGACGGUAAUGGGUAAAGAAGCACCGGCUAACUACGUG